AGUUAGGCCAAAGACUUGUCUGGGGAGCCAACUCAGUUCACGUUGUUGUGUUUAAGUGCGAACUAUUUAAUGGUUUGAUUCUAGUGAGAUAGAGAUUGUAGAGUUGUGCGUUGACGUAAGAUGCAGAAAAUUCAACUCAUCUGAGCCAACACCACGACAUUCAUCAAAAUGGAGGCAGCUGAAUUUCUUCUUCAAUGGAAAACGCAGCACCGGUCGGCCCAGUCGUCCAGAACAUCAAAACCAUCAACAAACAAAUUCGGGUCGGAUUGAAACCUGAACCCUUUACUAUGGAUUCCCCCGUUCUCCGCAAUUUCAAUUGCAGUCUACCUGAGCUGAGACAUUUGUUUCCUGGUUGUUCUAGUCACGAAGAGCUUUACAAUUUAAGCAUCAAUCAGACGGACAUCUUUUGGGGUACUCUUGCCCGUUUGCGCCUGCGUUGGAACCGCGACUUCCAGCAAGUUUCGGAUUGCAACAUGGAAACGGGCUCGUUUCGUUGGUUCCUGGGAGGCCAACUUAAUG